UUCUUGGGUUUCAGGGUGCCCCCAAAUCCCGGACGAGCCCCCAAGAUGUAAGACCCCCUUUCGGGGACCCCCACUCUAGUCUCAGGAGAGAGCACACACUCAAAGAAACUUGAGAAUCC
rnacentral:pre_miRNA from 7 species